CUCACUGCAAGAAUCUUCCUAAUCACAGCUGUGGAGUUUGAUCAUCCAUGCUUCAUGAUCUUCCAGUCAUCCCAAUGAAGCUCCUGGUAUUCCUUGUAUGGAUUUGUGCCUCUACUAUCCUGAUCUUUUGUUUAAGAUGGUAUUCCAGGGGAUCUUAGAUUCUUAUAUCCUUAUAACCAGAAGAAGAGGCCUCAAUUUAUAAACCUCCUUACUUUUUAUUCAUUUGUAGGUGUCAUGAUUAUCCACUGGAGUUUUAUAAGGUAGAUUCAUAUUUUCUUAUGUGAUAUGUCAAGGAUUCUGGGAAGAUGCCUGACUUAAUGAAAUGAGAUGUUUUUGGAUCUUCUACUAUUUAGAUAUCUCGGCCUAUCUUCAGUGAUAUUUUCUUUAACUAAUUACACUGAUGGCUUCAUCUAUCACUUUCAUCUUAUU
rnacentral:lncRNA from 1 species